UUUACGCCCGGGAGGCAGGAGGGGUUCCAAAACGAAUGCCAGAUUAAUCGAGUCCCCUCUAUGAAGGGAAGCGAAGUAGGAGGUAUACUAUAUAUAUAUAUAAAAGAGAUAUACAUGAAAAAUCAUUAUUGGACACCAUUUUUCUAUAGUGAACCGGUUUCACAAGCUUUCCACGCGCUAUUUAACAAUCAUUUAAAAUUUAAAGAUAGGCUCUCGUUGAAUAACCGUUUAUGUGCACCACUCAGAAUGGACGGACAAGCACACAACUUUUCUGUUGCUGAUGAAAAUCGCCGAAAUGUGGGAAAGAAACAUAAAACAAAACUAAUAGAAUGGAAAGACAGGCGAAGGAAGAUCUUAUGGGAUGCUGGAAAACCCUAUACAAAUCGUAAGGGUCAAGAAGAAACUGGGAAAAGCUGUCCAAAAUAGGGAUUGCACACCGAGGGCCCAUUGAGGUGGCAAGCUGCAUAUUGAAGUGGGUGAAGACAAAAUUCAAGCCACUCACCAAUCCAGAGGUGCGCAAGUUGAUCAUCUUCAGUGACAGAUGCCGUGGGCAGAAUAACAACUGGCGGAUGCUCAAUCUGAUGUCGAUGCGCGUCUCUAUGGGUUACUUUACCCAAGUUGAGCAGAAGUUCAUGGUCUCUGGUCAUUCUUUUCAUCCUCGUGAUCGAUCUUUUGCCACCAUCGAGAAGAGGCGCAAGUUGUCAGUCCUUCAUACACCUGAUGAUGUUUCAAAGAUGAUACUUGAAGCACAACCAGGAAAACCAUUCAAGGUUUUGAGGAUGAAAUGUGAAGACUUCAGGCACCUCCCAGAUUCUGUCCUCAAGCGACCAGCUGGACUACAGAUCACCUCAGUGAGGUGGUUAAAAGUCACAGUUGAGGAUCCUUGGAAUCUGUACGCCAGACAGAGCCACAGUCUAUUUGAGGGAUGGAAAUCGUGGCUGAUCUCCAAACCACAACAUCUCAACCUCCCUAUUUUGCAAGCCACUACCCUAGAACAUAUGAGAGUCCUCUGCCCAUCAAAAAAAAACACGUACCAAGACCUGAUGACCAUGACUACUUGCCAGCUGCUGUACGCUCUUUUUAUAAAUCACUGCAGAGUGAAUAAUUUGUUGUUAAACCAAUCUACAUAAUGAACUGUUUUUUUCUGUGAGUUUAUGAUCCCCUGAACCUGUAUAGUAUGUUGAAUCUGAAUACAUUUCAGAAGACAUGUCAACCCUAUUAGGAAAUUAAAUGUAUAGUAGGUGUUUUCUAUGUGAAUCAAUUUGUGUAUGAUUUGAACCAGCACAAUGUAUUGAAUUAAUUUCAUUUUAAGAUGUUCCUAGUGUAGAAAAUGUUAUGUACAAUGCGUUCUGUUGAGAAUU